AUUGAACGCUGGCGGCAUGCUUUACACAUGCAAGUCGAACGGUAGAGGGGGCAACCCCUUGAGAGUGGCGAACGGGUGAGUAAUGCAUCGGAACGUGCCCAGUCGUGGGGGAUAACUACUCGAAAGAGUGGCUAAUACCGCAUACGACCUGAGGGUGAAAGCGGGGGACCGAAAGGCCUCGCGCGAUUGGAGCGGCCGAUGUCAGAUUAGGUAGUUGGUGGGGUAAAGGCCUACCAAGCCUGCGAUCUGUAGCUGGUCUGAGAGGACGACCAGCCACACUGGGACUGAGACACGGCCCAGACUCCUACGGGAGGCAGCAGUGGGGAAUUUUGGACAAUGGGGGCAACCCUGAUCCAGCCAUUCCGCGUGAGUGAAGAAGGCCU
rnacentral:rRNA from 1 species